rnacentral:misc_RNA from 1 species
ACGAACGAGGUUGGUGCAGUGAUUGCGUAGGCUCAGGCCUUGCCGAAGGUGCCGUCAGGGUGACCGACGUGUCCCAGGGCGUCCGCCGGAGGCAGAGCCGUACUCCUCGCGAGCACGGACCAGCAGCGGUUGGAGUGGGGCCAGAAGGCCGUMGGGACGGUGUGUCGGGUCGGGCUUGCUCGCUCGACAACUUACAGCCCGGCGAGCCGGCGCYCCAGUUCGACCGAGGAAGRAGGGCAGCUCUUGCCCGUCUGUGGUGCACGCCGUAUGGCGGGGCCUCCCGUCGAGGGCGAGCGGUGCGGUGUUGACUGCUUGCAGUGCUCACUGUCACAGCGGACCCACGGUCGGAGAGUGUCACUUGU